rnacentral:rRNA from 1 species
CGGGGAGGGUCAUUGGAAACUGGGGAACUUGAGUGCAGAAGAGGAGAGUGGAAUUCCACGUGUAGCGGUGAAAUGCGAUAGAGAUGUGGAGGAACACCAGUGGCGAAGGCGACUCUCUGGUCUGUAACUGACGCUGAGGAGCGAAAGCGUGGGGAGCGAACAGGAUUAGAUACCCUGGUAGUCCACGCCGUAAACGAUGAGUGCUAAGUGUUAGGGGGUUUCCGCCCCUUAGUGCUGCAGCUAACGCAUUAAGCACUCCGCCUGGGGAGUACGGUCGCAAGACUGAAACUCAAAGGAAUUGACGGGGGCCCGCACAAGCGGUGGAGCAUGUGGUUUAAUUCGAAGCAACGCGAAGAACCUUACCAGGUCUUGACAUCCUCUGACAAUCCUAGAGAUAGGACGUCCCCUUCGGGGGCAGAGUGACAGGUGGUGCAUGGUUGUCGUCAGCUCGUGUCGUGAGAUGUUGGGUUAAGUCCCGCAACGAGCGCAACCCUUGAUCUUAGUUGCCAGCAUUCAGUUGGGCACUCUAAGGUGACUGCCGGUGACAAACCGGAGGAAGGUGGGGAUGACGUCAAAUCAUCAUGCCCCUUAUGACCUGGGCUACACACGUGCUACAAUGGACAGAACAAAGGGCAGCGAAACCGCGAGGUUAAGCCAAUCCCACAAAUCUGUUCUCAGUUCGGAUCGCAGUCUGCAACUCG